rnacentral:tRNA from 1 species
GCCGGGAUGGCGGAACAGGCAGACGCCGCGGACUUAAAAUCCGCUGCGGGGCAACCCGCGUGGGGGUUCGAAUCCCCCUCCCGGCACUA